ensembl:snoRNA SNORD21 Small nucleolar RNA SNORD21
GCCAAAUGACGAUAGCCCACUAACUGAGCAGUCCGUAGUUGGUCCUUUGGCUGCAUAUGAUGUAGCAGUUGUUUCAAGACGGGACUGAUGGCAGC